AGAUUCUGUUUGUACCAGGUCCGUCCAAUGAGGUAGUAAAUCUACAGCAGCCUGGGGGUCACAUCCUGGGGGCAGGAUCUUGUGAUGGGGUUGGAGUUUUCUUCUCUGGCAGUGUGGGACUUUUUUCCAUCAGUGCUCCACAGAAACAGGAAGU